GGGUUGAUAUGGGAUGGAGUUGCGUGAUCUCUUCAAGAAAGCCGAAGAUUCGUUUCUCCGCAGUGAAGGGCUAUAAAAGGGAGCCAGCACCAGUAUACGUCUUCCCCUCACAAUGUUCAGAAGCAAAAGAGAAUGACCACAUGUUUGCAAUGUCCAGAUAAGCGGACUAAAGAUAACAUUCCAAGGAGAGAGGUGGUCAGAGAAGAGAGAGUGGAGGAUAGAGAAGCCUAUAGGGUUAUGUGCAUAACAGGUGUAUAUCCCCACACAGUAGAGAGAGGGGAAAGGAAUCGGAGAGAGAUGAGAGAGAGAGAGGGGCAACUGUAGUUAAAUGAAUCAAUGCUGAGGGAAUGAUGGCCAUACUAUAUAGUCACACUUUAUGGGUGUUACACUUACAACA